CAGCCGCCGCGGUAAUACGGAGGGGGCUAGCGUUGUUCGGAAUUACUGGGCGUAAAGCGCACGUAGGCGGCUUGGUAAGUUAGAGGUGAAAGCCUGGAGCUCAACUCCAGAAUUGCCUUUAAGACUGCCGAGCUAGCAGGUGAGAGAGGUAAGUGGAAUUCCGAGUGUAGAGGUGAAAUUCGUAGAUAUUCGGAAGAACACCAGUGGCGAAGGCGGCUUACUGGCUCAUACUGGACGCUGAGGUGCGAAAGCGUGGGGAGCAAACAGGAUUAGAUACCCCGGUAGUCCCUGUCUCUUAUAU
rnacentral:rRNA from 1 species